rnacentral:rRNA from 1 species
AGAUUGAACGCUGGCGGCAGGCCUAACACAUGCAAGUCGAGCGGCAGCACGGGUACUUGUACCUGGUGGCGAGCGGCGGACGGGUGAGUAAUGCCUAGGAAUCUGCCUGGUAGUGGGGGAUAACGCUCGGAAACGGACGCUAAUACCGCAUACGUCCUACGGGAGAAAGCAGGGGACCUUCGGGCCUUGCGCUAUCAGAUGAGCCUAGGUCGGAUUAGCUAGUUGGUGAGGUAAUGGCUCACCAAGGCGACGAUCCGUAACUGGUCUGAGAGGAUGAUCAGUCACACUGGAACUGAGACACGGUCCAGACUCCGUACGGGAGGCAGCAGUGGGGAAUAGUUGGACAAGUGGGACGAAAGCCUGACUCAGCCAUGCCGCGUGUGUGAAGAAGGUCUUACGGAUUAGUAAAGCUAACGUUUUAAGGUUAGGAAGG